rnacentral:rRNA from 1 species
UACGUAGGGGGCGAGCGUUGUCCGGAAUUACUGGGCGUAAAGGGUGCGUAGGUGGUUUCUUAAGUCAGAGGUGAAAGGCUACGGCUCAACCGUAGUAAGCCUUUGAAACUGGGAAACUUGAGUGCAGGAGAGGAGAGUAGAAUUCCUAGUGUAGCGGUGAAAUGCGUAGAUAUUAGGAGGAAUACCAGUUGCGAAGGCGGCUCUCUGGACUGUAACUGACACUGAGGCACGAAAGCGUGGGGAGCAAACAGGAUUAGAUACCCGCGUAGUCCCUGAGCGGG